UCUAACCAUGCUUUCCAACAAGUCCGAUUGCUAAUCCUAUUCCCCAGCAAAACCAGUUAUGUCCCAGAAGAAAUGGGCAUCACUAGACAGACUGGUAAUCUCUCCCAUCCCCAGCCAGGCUAAGUAUCCCCAGCUAAGAAAGGGUCAUUGAUACAAGUAUCUCCAACCAGAAUGUUGGGAUUUGUUUUCCCCUGGAAGAACUUUUCAGACGCAUAAUUCAUUCAUUACAUCAUUUCACAGCAUACGCAUGCAUACAUUGUUCGCAUUUAUUUUC
rnacentral:lncRNA from 1 species